GACGAACGCUGGCGGCGUGCUUAACACAUGCAAGUCGAACGGAAAGACCCUGCACUUGUGGGGUGCUCGAGUGGCGAACGGGUGAGUAACACGCGAGUAACCUGCCCUUGACUUUGGGAUAACUCCAGGAAACUGGGGCGAAUAUCGGAUAGGAGCUCUUGCUGCACGGUGGGGGUUGGAAAGAUUCGGCGGUUGGGGAUGGACUCGCGGCUUAUCAGCUUGUUGGUGGGGUAGUGGCUUACCAAGGCGUUGACGGGUAGCCGGCCUGAGAGGGUGACCGGCCACAUUGGGACUGAGAUACGGCCCAGACUCCUACGGGAGGCAGCGGUGGGGAAUAUUGCGCAAUAGGCGGAAGCCUGAUACAGCAACGCCGCGUGCGGGAAGACGGCCUUCGGGGUGUAAACCGCUUUCGCCUGUGACGAAGCGUGAGUGACGGUAAUGGGUAAGGAAGCACCGGCUAACUACGUG
rnacentral:rRNA from 1 species